UACGUAGGGGGCAAGCGUUGUCCGGAAUUAUUGGGCGUAAAGAGCGCGUAGGCGGUCCGAUAAGUCGGCUGUGAAAGUCCAGGGCUCAACCCUGGAAAGCCGGCCGAUACUGUCGGACUAGAGUCCGGAAGAGGCGAGUGGAAUUCCCGGUGUAGCGGUGAAAUGCGCAGAUAUCGGGAGGAACACCAAUUGCGAAGGCAGCUCGCUGGGACGGUACUGACGCUGAGGCGCGAAAGCUAGGGGAGCAAACAGG
rnacentral:rRNA from 1 species